rnacentral:rRNA from 1 species
AUUGAACGCUGGCGGCAGGUCUAACACAUGCAAGUCGAACGAGUGGCGGACGGGUGAGUAAUGUCUGGGAAACUGCCUGAUGGAGGGGGAUAACUACUGGAAACGGUAGCUAAUACCGCAUACCAUCAGAUGUGCCCAGAUGGGAUUAGCUAGUUGGUGGGGUACCGGCUCACCAAGGCGACGAUCCCUAGCUGGUCUGAGAGGAUAACCAGACAGGCUGGAGCUGAGACACGAUCCAGGCUCAUACGGGAGGCAGCAGUGGGGAAUAUUGCACGAUGGGCGCAAUCCUGAUGCAGCCAUGCCGCGUGUAUGAAGAAGGCCUUCGGGUUGUAAAGUACUUUCAGCGGGGAGGCGUUACCCGCAGAAGAAGCACCGGCUAACUCCGUGCCAGCCGCCGCGGUAAUUC